CCUACGGGGGGCUGCAGUGAGGAAUAUUGGUCAAUGGACGAGAGUCUGAACCAGCCAAGUAGCGUGAAGGAUGACUGCCCUAUGGGUUGUAAACUUCUUUUAUAAAGGAAUAAAACGAGGCACGUGUGCCUUUUUGCAUGUACUUUAUGAAUAAGGAUCGGCUAACUCCGUGCCAGCAGCCGCGGUAAUACGGAGGGUGCGAGCGUUAAUCGGAAUUACUGGGCGUAAAGCGCUCGUAGGCGGUAUGUCAAGGCAAGGGUGAAAUCCCCGCGCUCAACGUGGGAACUUCCUUUGACACUGGCAAACUGGAGUGUGUGAGAGCCUAGUGGAAUUCCCGGUCUAGGAGUGAAAUCCGUAGAUAUCUGGAGGACCAUCAGUGGCGAAUGCGCCUCUCUGGCACAUACCUGACGCUGAGGAGCGAACGCGUGGGUAGCAAACAGGAUUAGAUACCCCUGUAGUC
rnacentral:rRNA from 1 species